GCCCCACUGGCGCAAUGGUAGCGCGCUAGACUUCUAUUAGUAGAAAGGUACAUCUGGAGGCUGCGGGUUCGAGCCCCGCGUGGGGUU